rnacentral:lncRNA from 1 species
GGCCGAGCUUGGAAAACGAAGCGUUACACAUCUGUGGCAUCAGGCGGUGAGUGAAGGAAUGAGAAAUCAGCCUCCCUCCCCCUUAGCCUGGCACGGCCGCUGCCUGGGAGAUGAAGGAUUUGUUUAAUUAGACGGCAAAUCCUCCUGCUGCCGUGCAGAUGCAGACAGCAGCGGCUGCGUCCCGGGGGAUCAUGGCCAUGGGGCUGCCACGCUGGCAUCGUGGUCCCACAGAGCCAGCGUGGGCUGGGGGGACGGGGUGGUGGCUGCAGGCGGUGGGGCUUCCCUGCCCUAUGUGCUUCCCUGCCCUCUGCUCUGCUAUGGGGUCAGCGUGGCUGUCCCGGGGUUCCCACCGCACAUCCUAGCAAUGCCAUCUCUUCCAUGUCCCCGUGUCCCAUCCCCGCGCUGGCCCUGGCCGUGGUCCCUGCACAGCUGCUGGCACAGAGGGGCUGCACCACGGCGUCACCUCGGCACAUUAAUAACUGGAGCAGCAAACGCGUCCCUGUCCCAGAGCCACCCCGGCGAGGAGACCGUGUGGCAUCAGGCAGCUGUAGCCACGUGGAGGGCUGGGGGGGCGAGGGAGGGGGUGGGGCUGCUGCUCUCAGCCCCAAAACCAGGGGGAUUGCUAAGGAGGGUGAGUGGGGAACGCACACCCAACUUGGGACCUGGAGGAGAGAUGUGGGGCCGGGGCAGCCCGGGGGCCCAUGGAGCCACGCGGCUUCGCUCUGCGCAGGCACCGCCAGCCUCGCUUGUCUUUGCAUCCCUGGGUUUUCUGCAAGGUAAAAGGAGCACAGCUCCAAGAGACCACCCCUCUGCGGAGGGCAGACCAGAGGAACCAGCAGCGCGGGGAGCGAGGCGGCCGCUGCCCUCCUCAGUGAAGGAGAAAAUCAGGAGACGUGAAAGGCAAAGCUGCUGGGGAGAAGCAUCACGGCUCCAGCGAGCUGUCAUGGGGCUGGGGAGCACCGGCCUGUCUGCCUGCCCUUCAGCUCGCCUCCCCAUCCCCCCAUGGGCUCUGCCAGCAUUGCCUUUUUUCUUUUUUUUCCUAAUUUUACUUUUAUUAGCGCGUUUUGCAGCCUCGCAGCCACCUGGGGUACACCCGGCACCACGCAGCCCACCCCAGGCUCCGGCGUCACCCUUGGCACAAGGAGGGGACGGCAGCGUGCACUGCCCUGCCUGCAGCCACAGCU